rnacentral:rRNA from 1 species
AGUGAACGCUGGCGGCGUGGAUUAGGCAUGCAAGUCGAGCGAUCUCGCAAGGGAUAGCGGCAAACGGGUGAGGAAUACAUAGGUAAUCUUCCUCUAAAUUAAGCAUAGCCCUAUGAAAGUAGGGGUAAUACUUGAUAGUAUCACGGGGAUGCAUGUUUCUGUGAUUAAAAGAUGGGGACCGUAAGGCCUGUCGUUUAGGGAUGAGCCUAUGUCUUAUCAGCUAGUGUGAGUAAUGGCUNACCAAGGCUAAGACAAGUAGCUGGACUGAGAGGUUGGUCAGCACACUGGACUGAGACACUGCCCAGACUCCUAC